GGACGAACGCUGGCGGCGUGCUUAACACAUGCAAGUCGAACGGAAAGGCCCUGCUUUUGUGGGGUGCUCGAGUGGCGAACGGGUGAGUAACACGUGAGUAACCUGCCCUUGACUUUGGGAUAACUUCAGGAAACUGGGGCUAAUACCGGAUAGGAGCUCCUGCUGCAUGGUGGGGGUUGGAAAGUUUCGGCGGUUGGGGAUGGACUCGCGGCUUAUCAGCUUGUUGGUGGGGUAGUGGCUUACCAAGGCUUUGACGGGUAGCCGGCCUGAGAGGGUGACCGGCCACAUUGGGACUGAGAUACGGCCCAGACUCCUACGGGAGGCAGCAGUGGGGAAUAUUGCACAAUGGGCGGAAGCCUGAUGCAGCAACGCCGCGUGCGGGAUGACGGCCUUCGGGUUGUAAACCGCUUUCGCCUGUGACGAAGCGUGAGUGACGGUAAUGGGUAAAGAAGCACCAGCUAACUACGUG
rnacentral:rRNA from 1 species